CAAUUGAAGAAAUCAUCAGAUAAUUUGGAGGAUGGAUGGGAACAAGAACGUCUUAUGCCAGAAUCUGAUCAGGUUACACCAAAAGCUUGAUGGGUACAAGCUCAAUGAUGUUAUUGUCUUUAAAAAGCAGCAAUGGCCUGCCAUGGUUGAUAUGCUCAGNNNNUUUAACUAGUUCUUGGUUUGGCUGGGCUAAAUUUCAUGGGUCUGAGUCUGGUCUUGUGGGCACAAGUUCAUCAUCAUGUUUCUUACUUUUCCCCAAGCCUAAACUUGUCUUUAAGUGUUCCAAAAGUAAUUUUCUGAUGUAGAAUAAUAACAUGAGUUCACGAGAAAGUUUGUUUUUGAAAUCAAAAAC
rnacentral:misc_RNA from 1 species